rnacentral:rRNA from 1 species
UGCCAGCAGCUGCGGUAAUACGGAGGAUCCAAGCGUUAUCCGGAUUUAUUGGGUUUAAAGGGUCCGUAGGCGGGAAAUUAAGUCAGUGGUGAAAGCCUACAGCUCAACUGUAGAACUGCCAUUGAUACUGAUUUUCUUGAAUUUAUAUGAAGUGGGCGGAAUGCGUCAUGUAGCGGUGAAAUGCACAGAUAUGACGCAGAACACCAAUUGCGAAGGCAGCUCACUAAUGUAAUAUUGACGCUGAGGGACGAAAGCAUGGGGAGCGAACAGGAUUAGAUA